UGUUUGGGGCGCAACCUCGCGCGGGGACACAGCAGCGAGAGAGUGAGAGUGUCCCUGAUGACUGGAUUCUCCUCAAAUUAUUCCUGCUUGCUGUAUUAUGGCUGGUCAAGUUAACUAUUCACGGCGCUGUUUCCUGAGUGAAUUAACACUUGUCAGUGAUGAGGGCCUAUUUCGAAAUGAGCACUACACCACUGAAAUUGAAGGAAAGGUGGCAGGUGCACAGUGCGCUGUUCGGAUCGUGGGAUUAUAUUGGACGAAAGUGUGAAGGUUUGAGGAGCAGUUGCAGCUGCAGUGUGUGUGAUGUCACUCUGAACUCAAUAGAACAGUACUACGCACAUCUCCAGGGCUCCAGACACCAAAACAAUUUGAAGCAGCACCAGAGAUGUGUUGAGUCAGCCGGUCUGUGACUUCUGCCCCCCAGUGGAUGGAUGACCAGAGAGAAGAAGCAGCCAGAGAGAGACGGACUGGAAUUGUGAUGUCAUCGUGUGCCGUUUGUGCCGUCACAGUGCAGAGAAGGAGGUGUGACUGGUUGGACUAAAACAGAAACAGACAUAGCGAUGAUGUCACAUGCACAAACUUUUUCUGCAAAGAGAGUUCAAUGAUGUCAGUCACCCACAGAAAUUGACAAGAACACUUCUCACACUUUGUCAUCUGACACACACACACACACACACACACAGACAGUUGUGCCAGAGUUGAUUGAGUUGAUUCACGUCAUUAAAGUACUUUGAAACAUA